rnacentral:rRNA from 1 species
UACGUAGGGCGCAAGCGUUGUCCGGAAUUAUUGGGCGUAAAGAGCUCGUAGGCGGUUUGAUAAGUCGGGUGUGAAAUCUCCAGGCUCAACCUGGAGCUGCCACUCGAUACUGUCAUGACUUGAAUUCGGUAGGGGACCACGGAAUUCCUGGUGUAGCGGUGAAAUGCGCAGAUAUCAGGAGGAACACCAGCAGCGAAGGCGGUGGUCUGGGCCGACAUUGACGCUGAGGAGCGAAAGCGUGGGGAGCGAACAGG